UACGGAGGGUGCAAGCGUUAUCCGGAUUCACUGGGUUUAAAGGGUGCGUAGGUGGGUUGAUAAGUCAGUGGUGAAAUCUCCAGGCUUAACUUGGAAACCGCCAUUGAUACUAUUGAUCUUGAAUACCGUGGAGGUCAGCGGAAUAUGUCAUGUAGCGGUGAAAUGCUUAGAUAUGACAUAGAACACCAAUUGCGAAGGCAGCUGGCUACACGAAUAUUGACACUCAGGCACGAAAGCGUGGGGAUCAAACAGG
rnacentral:rRNA from 1 species